GUUUCUACGCCAAAGUCUUUCCAAGUGAUCGCCCCCAUACACACACACACACACACACACACACACACACACAUAUAUAUAUGUCAUACAUUGGUUAUAUAUAUAUAUAUCAUCAUCAUCAUCAUCAUCAUCAAGCAAAAAGUGGUAUACUACUAUAACUUCCUUUGUUCAGUCCUUCGUUGGUGCCAUACAAAUAUAUAUAUACAUAUAUUAGAAUGAGAAACAAAACUUGUUCCACCUAUUCUUGUCUCACCAUAUGUUGUUUAUUCAUGAUUUGGCUCAUCAUGGUUUCACCUGUACUCUCUGCGCGGAAAUUAUCCACCACUCCCAGCAGCCACGGAGAGAGUCAUAUUCCUGCAGGCAAAAACCAUCAUGACCAUGCCGAAUCUGCUAUACCAUCAGGACCAAAAGUGUCAAAAUCACCUACCAGAAGUACUAAAGUUGCAAGCCAAACCACUGUGGGGCCGUCCUGUGGACGAGGGAAAUCAUAUGGGACUUGCCAACCAGGAAAAAACGUCGUUAGACGCUGUCCGCCGUUUCAAAAGUGCGGACUGGGAAACUGAAACAAGCAAAGCAACUAGUUCAAAUGUAUGUGGUGGAGAUAUAUAUAUAUAUAUAUAUUAGUGGUUCUUUGUAAUAUUUCACAUCCUAAUAAAAAGUUACUCCUUAUGUGUUGCU